rnacentral:rRNA from 1 species
UACGUAGGAGGCAAGCGUUGUCCGGAGUUACUGGGCGUAAAGGGCCCGCAGGCGGUGGAGUAAGUUUGGAGUGACAGUUCCCAGCUUAACCGGGAAAGGACUUCGAAAACUGCUCGACUUGAGGACUGGAGAGGAAGGCGGAAUUCCGGGUGGAGCGGUGAAAUGCGUAGAGAUCCGGAGGAACACCGACGGCGAAGGCAGCCUUCUGGAAAGUACCUGACGCUGAGGGGCGAAAGCUAGGGGAGCG